rnacentral:sRNA from 1 species
AGUCUGAUGUGUCACAACCCAACAGGGUGGGGCUUUAUCUCUUUUUCAAUUGAUUACAUGAAAUAAUUGUAUUAAAUAGAAAAUAUAAAGGCAUAAAUGCCUUGAUAUUUAUUUCUUAUCAGUCCUUAUAUUCCUUAGUAGAUCUCUAUUUAAAGCUCUAAAAUUAUUUAUCUUCUCCUCCCCUGAUACUGCUUUUCAGUCUAAACUCUCCAAAUUUUGUGAAUGUGAAGAAACUUACAAACUGAAUAUUUCUGAAAACAAUCUUCUAUUGUAAAAGUAAUAUGAUCCCAUUAAACAAAAUUUGUAAAAAAAAAAAGAAAAAAAGAAAGAAAGAAAGAAAAGAAAAAAAUCACCUACAACAUUAUUAGCCUAAUAUAAACUGAUACAAAUGAAUAUAAUACUGCUUUGGUAUUUUCUUUCCAUAUUUUCUUUUACAAAGCCUAGUCAUGAUUAUAUUAAGCACUUUACCUCAGGUAAAGCACUCAGCUUUCCCUUUGAUUCCAGCAUUUGGCAUCUGAGGGCCAUGAUCUUUGGUAGCCAUUUUUUUAAUACUUCAGGAGUUUAUAUGCCAGAAUCAGGCUGUCAAAUAGGUCCAUAUUAAUACCUGUUAAAUUCUGAAAGUUCAGGGACAAACUUUUAAUCUAUCCUUAGCAAAAAGUGAUAAACUUGGAGGUGCUAAGUAAAUAAAAUGUCUUAAUAAAAUUCCAUUACAGUGUUCACAUGUACCAUUCUGAUACUGUAUAUUUGCCCUUACAGUCUUGUCUGCAUAGCAGGAUGCUGUGCCAAAUCAUCUCAGCAAGAGGUCUCUACAUCACGAUGUAGGCAAAGAUAUUAGAGUGGGUGAAGAGAACCUCUUAUUACCUUUUCUGGGCCCAAUUUUCUCAUAAUGAACCUGCACAAGAUGAUCUCUAAGGUACUGCAUUUCCUGGACACGAUCUUAAUUUUCUUAAUACCUCCGCUGACAUUUCAAAUAGCG